UACGGAGGGUGCAAGCGUUAUCCGGAUUCACUGGGUUUAAAGGGUGCGUAGGAGGGCAGGUAAGUCAGUGGUGAAAUCUCCAAGCUUAACUUGGGAACUGCCGUGGAUACUAUCAAUCUUGAAUAUCGUGGAGGUAAGCGGAAUAUGUCAUGUAGCGGUGAAAUGCUUAGAUAUGACAUAGAACACCAAUUGCGUAGGCAGCUUACUACACGAUCAUUGACGCUGAGGCACGAAAGCGUGGGGAGCAAACAGG
rnacentral:rRNA from 1 species